rnacentral:rRNA from 1 species
UACGUAGGGAGCAAGCGUUGUCCGGAUUUAUUGGGCGUAAAGAGCUCGUAGGCGGUUUGUCGCGUCUGCUGUGAAAGACCGGGGCUCAACUCCGGUUCUGCAGUGGGUACGGGCAGACUAGAGUGCAGUAGGGGAGACUGGAAUUCCUGGUGUAGCGGUGAAAUGCGCAGAUAUCGGGAGGAACACCAGCGGCGAAGGCGGCACUCUGGGCUGGAACUGACGCUGAGGAGCGAAAGCGUGGGUAGCAAACAGGA